AGAGUUGUCUAUUCAGGAAGACACUGUUCAGCAAUGGGUGUCUGAUGUUCAACAGUGGACUGCAGAAGGACCAUGCAGUCAAAAUGAACUUGAAAAAACCAUUGAAGGACUGUAUCUCAGCAUUAAGCAGCGGAAAUAUCAGCUGUAUCGUCAGGCUGAUGGCAACAAGAGAAGACAUCUGCUUAGAAAAAAGAUUUCAGUGGAAAAGAGAUCCUUAGAAGAUGCCAUCACAAAAUACAAUGCUGUUGUGCCAGAAACUGGCAAACUCCCUUCUCCCAACAAGCUCCUGGCUGAGGAAAACUAUUCCUGGCCUUGGGAAUGUCAUGGUGAUAUGUUAAAGAAAAAAAAGGUCUUCGACAAGGUAAUGCUGCUGAACCGACUGAAGGAAGAGGAGGUCAUUGUUGUCCGUGAAGUCAAGCAGCACUGGGA